UACAGAGGUCUCAAGCGUUGUUCGGAUUCAUUGGGCGUAAAGGGUGCGUAGGCGGCGCGGUAAGUCGGGUGUGAAAUCUCGGAGCUUAACUCCGAAACUGCAUUCGAUACUGCCGUGCUUGAGGACUGGAGAGGAGAUCGGAAUUCACGGUGUAGCAGUGAAAUGCGUAGAUAUCGUGAGGAAGACCAGUGGCGAAGGCGGAUCUCUGGACAGCUCCUGACGCUGAGGCGCGAAGGCUAGGGGAGCAAACGGG
rnacentral:rRNA from 1 species